AACGAACGCUGGCGGCGUGCCUAAUACAUGCAAGUCGAGCGGACAGAAGGGAGCUUGCUCCCGGAUGUUAGCGGCGGACGGGUGAGUAACACGUGGGUAACCUGCCUGUAAGACUGGGAUAACUCCGGGAAACCGGAGCUAAUACCGGAUAGUUCCUUGAACCGCAUGGUUCAAGGAUGAAAGACGGUUUCGGCUGUCACUUACAGAUGGACCCGCGGCGCAUUAGCUAGUUGGUGGGGUAAUGGCUCACCAAGGCGACGAUGCGUAGCCGACGUGAGAGGGUGAUCGGCCACACUGGGACUGAGACACGGCCCAGACUCCUACGGGGGGCAGCGGUAGGGAAGCUUCCGCAAUGGACGAAAGUCUGACGGGGCAACGCCGCGUGAGUGAUGAAGGUUUUCGGAUCGUAAAGCUCUGUUGUUAGGGAAGAACAAGUGCGAGAGUAACUGCUCGCACCUUGACGGUACCUAACCAGAAAGCCACGGCUAGCUACGUGCCAGCAGCCGCCGCCG
rnacentral:rRNA from 1 species